rnacentral:rRNA from 1 species
GACGAACGCUGGCGGCGUGCUUAACACAUGCAAGUCGAACGGAAAGGCCCUGCUUUUGUGGGGUGCUCGAGUGGCGAACGGGUGAGUAACACGUGAGUAACCUGCCCUUGACUUUGGGAUAACUUCAGGAAACUGGGGCUAAUACCGGAUAGGAGCUCCUGCUGCAUGGUGGGGGUUGGAAAGUUUCGGCGGUUGGGGAUGGACUGGCGGCGUAUCAGCUUGUUGGUGGGGUAGUGGCUUACCAAGGCUUUGACGGGUAGCCGGCCUGGGAGGGUGACCGGCCCCAUUGGGACGGGGAUACGGCCCGGACUCCUACGGGAGGCAGCAGUGGGGAAUAUUGCACAAUGGGCGGAAGCCUGAUGCAGCAACGCCGCGUGGGGGAUGACGGCCUUGGGGUUGUAAACCGCUUUCGCCUGUGACGAGGCGUGAGUGACGGUAAUGGGUAAAGAAGCACCGGCUAACUACGUG